AACGCUUCCAACACGAUCCCUUGGAGCAC
rnacentral:sRNA from 1 species